rnacentral:rRNA from 1 species
UACGAAGGGGGCUAGCGUUGCUCGGAAUGACUGGGCGUAAAGGGCGCGUAGGCGGCUUGCACCGUCAGAUGUGAAAUUCCUGGGCUUAACCUGGGGGCUGCAUUUGAUACGUGUGGGCUUGAGUGCGGAAGAGGGUCGUGGAAUUCCCAGUGUAGAGGUGAAAUUCGUAGAUAUUGGGAAGAACACCGGUGGCGAAGGCGGCUCACUGGCCCGUAACUGACGCUCAUGCACGACAGCGUGGGGAUCAAACAGG